UAGGGAAUCUUCCACAAUGGACGCAAGUCUGAUGGAGCAACGCCGCGUGAGUGAAGAAGGUUUUCGGACCGUAAAGCUCUGUUGUUGGUGAAGAAGGAUAGAGGUAGUAACUGGCCUUUAUUUGACGGUAAUCAACCAGAAAGUCACGGCUAACUACGUGCCAGCAGCCGCGGUAAUACGUAGGUGGCAAGCGUUGUCCGGAUUUAUUGGGCGUAAAGCGAGCGCAGGCGGAAGAAUAAGUCUGAUGUGAAAGCCCUCGGCUUAACCGAGGAAUUGCAUCGGAAACUGUUUUCUUGAGUGCAGAAGAGGAGAGUAGAACUCCAUGUGUAGCGGUGGAAUGCGUAGAUAUAUGGAAGAAUACCAGUGGCGAAGGCGGCUCUCUGGUCUGCAACUGACGCUGAGGCUCGAAAGCAUGGUAGCGAACAGGAUUAGAUACCCUGGUAGUCCAUGCCGUAAACGAUGAGUGCUAAGUGUUGG
rnacentral:rRNA from 1 species